UACGUAGGGCGCAAGCGUUGUCCGGAAUUAUUGGGCGUAAAGAGCUCGUAGGCGGUUUGUCGCGUCUGCUGUGAAAACCUAAGGCUCAACCUUGGGCUUGCAGUGGGUACGGGCAGACUAGAGUGCGGUAGGGGUGACUGGAAUUCCUGGUGUAGCGGUGGAAUGCGCAGAUAUCAGGAGGAACACCGAUGGCGAAGGCAG
rnacentral:rRNA from 1 species